GGGAAGAAAGCGGAGGCCGGGGAAGAAACUGAGGGCGGGGAAGAAACUGAGGGCGGGGAAGAACCGGUGGAAAAGGGGAUAAGGAAGAGUAGUGACAGAACACGGAUAUGGAGAUGAUAAAACUCAUGGAAUAUCAGUUUGGCUCUAGGGUGGCAGGAGCCUCUUGCUUUAUCAACAAGAAGUUCCUGAUCCUUCCCUUGGGUGCUGUCCACCCCAGAUCCUAAGGUGAAUGCUUGCUUGAGACCAUUAACCAUGUACACAUAGCCUACACAGGGGGCACAGGCAUUGUGACAAAUGAGAAAUGAAUAUCUUCCUCUAAUAGCCCAAUAACCUGACAAAAGUCUGCACCUCUUCAACCUUUGCAGGGAUGAGGAGUCCUGGAAAGUUUUGACUGCCAGUUCUGAUCACCCUGAGACAUCUCCAUGUCCUCUGCUGGAAAACAAGGGAGAAUACCCGAAGCUACUCAGUUGGUGCAUCCAAAAGCAGAUGCAGGCCCACACCCCAGCUCUGAGUUUACCAAAGAAGACUCUGCAGCCUAUAUGUGGGAGAGUUGGGGAAGAAUGUAAAGAAAAGAAAUAAAGUAUGGAUGAUUAACUUGGCUGGUGACAGAUUGUUGUAGAAGCAGCAGAAUCUGCAGGAAUUCAAAUGCAAUUCCACAGGUAUGAAGAGAUCUUGGGAACAAGAG